rnacentral:rRNA from 1 species
GAUGAUCGCCAUCAACAAGCACAACCCCUCACACAUCAGGGGGAAAAGGGCAUCAAGUGCAUGCCCUCUUUGGACGUCAACCGGCGCACGGGUGAGUAACGCGUAUCCAACCUUUCCCAUUACUGUGGGAUAACCCGCCGAAAGGCAGACUAAUACCGCAUAGUCUUACGAUGACGGCAUCAAAUUUGCAAGUAAAGAUUUAUCGGUAAUGGAUGGGGAUGCGUCUGAUUAGCUUGUAGGCGGGGUAACGGCCCACCAAGGCGACGAUCAGAAGGGGUUCUGAGAGGAAGGUCCCCCACAUUGGAACUGAGACACGGUCCAAACUCCUACGGGAGGCAGCAGUGAGGAAUAUUGGUCAAUGGACGGAAGUCUGAACCAGCCAAGUAGCGUGCAGGAUGACGGCCCUAUGGGUUGUAAACUGCUUUUGUAUGGGGAUAAAGUUAGGGACGUGUCCCUAUUUGCAGGUACCAUACGAAUAAGGACCGGCUAAUUCCGUGCCAGCAGCCGCGGUAAUACGGAAGGUCCAGGCGUUAUCCGGAUUUAUUGGGUUUAAAGGGAGCGUAGGCUGGAGAUUAAGUGUGUUGUGAAAUGUAGACGCUCAACGUCUGAAUUGCAGCGCAUACUGGUUUCCUUGAGUACGCACAACGUUGGCGGAAUUCGUCGUGUAGCGGUGAAAUGCUUAGAUAUGACGAAGAACUCCGAUUGCGAAGGCAGCUGACGGGAGCGCAACUGACGCUUAAGCUCGAAGGUGCGGGUAUCAAACAGG